rnacentral:rRNA from 1 species
GACGAACGCUGGCGGCGUGCCUAAUACAUGCAAGUUGAGCGCUGAAGGUUGGUACUUGUACCAACUGGAUGAGCAGCGAACGGGUGAGUAACGCGUGGGGAAUCUGCCUUUGAGCGGGGGACAACAUUUGGAAACGAAUGCUAAUACCGCAUAAAAACUUUAAACACAAGUUUUAAGUUUGAAAGAUGCAAUUGCAUCACUCAAAGAUGAUCCCGCGUUGUAUUAGCUAGUUGGUGAGGUAAAGGCUCACCAAGGCGAUGAUACAUAGCCGACCUGAGAGGGUGAUCGGCCACAUUGGGACUGAGACACGGCCCAAACUCCUUCGGGAGGCAGCAGUAGGGAAUCUUCGGCAAUGGAUGAAAGACUGACCGAGCAACGCCGAGUGAGUGAAGAAGGUUUUCGGAUCGUAAAACUCUGUUGGUAGAGAAGAACGUUGGUGAGAGUGGAAAGCUCAUCAAGUGACGGUAACUACACAGAAAGGGACGGCUAACUACGUG